UACGGGGGGGGCAAGCGUUGUUCGGAAUUACUGGGCGUAAAGUGUGCGCAGGCGGCACCGCAAGUCGAGUGUGAAAGCCCCGGGCUUAACUUGGGAAUUGCGCUCGAAACUAUGGUGCUGGAGUGUGGCAGAGGAAGGUGGAAUUCCACGUGUAGCGGUGAAAUGCGUAGAGAUGUGGAGGAACACCGAUGGCGAAGGCAGCCUUCUGGGCCAACACUGACGCUCAUGCACGAAAGCGUGGGGAGCAAACAGG
rnacentral:rRNA from 1 species